rnacentral:rRNA from 1 species
CCUACGGGUGGCAGCAGUGGGGAAUAUUGGGCAAUGGAGGCAACUCUGACCCAGCAACGCCGCGUGAAUGAUGAAGGUCUUCGGAUUGUAAAGUUCUGUGAUGGGGGAUGAACACAAUGACGGUACCCCAAUAGCAAGCCACGGCUAACUACGUGCCAGCAGCCGCGGUAAUACGUAGGUGGCAAGCGUUGUCCGGAUUUACUGGGUGUAAAGGGCGUGCAGCCGGGGAGACAAGUCAGAUGUGAAAUCAACGGGCUCAACCCGUGAACUGCAUUUGAAACUGUUUCCCUUGAGUGUCGGAGAGGUAAUCGGAAUUCCUUGUGUAGCGGUGAAAUGCGUAGAUAUAAGGAAGAACACCAGUGGCGAAGGCGGAUUACUGGACGAUAACUGACGGUGAGGCGCGAAAGCGUGGGGAGCAAACAGGAUUAGAUACCCUUGUAGUC